rnacentral:lncRNA from 1 species
GAGUCCCAGCACGAUUCGGCCGACUCCGGCGACUGGAGAAACGAGUUAGUAACUCUAGGUACUCAAAUUCAAAUAGUCAGAUGCCCUGUGUAAUACACUGACAUUCCGAUCGGCUAUCCACGUGCAUUGGUCACAAUAAUUUCACCAAUUUACCCAAAUCCCGUUACUGGUAUUACAGAACUUCUCACUAAUUUUUGAACCAAAUCAAUUUUCACAAUCUACCGAAAAACCCGAAAGAAUUUACUCGAAAGCCAAGAACCCAUGUGCACUGUUCACAAUAAUUUCACCAUUUACCCAAAUCCCGUCACUGGAAGAGCAGCUUAUAUAUUUAUAAUUCUUGUCUACCUAUCAGAUUUGCCGCCAGCGAUGGUGGUGUUGGGAAGAGUGGUAUAGAAAGAAGGAAGAAGAUGAAUUGGUUUUCAUUUUAUUUUAAUUUCUUUUAGUUUUGGUUUGUAAUUAUUUAGCC